GUCUUUCCUCAGGAAACAGGAAGGCGUUGUACCUUGGCAGGCACGGUGACGGUGAGUUUGUGCACUGCAGUUUGCAGCAGGGGCUAGGGCUUCCUUUCCCCGGGCCCCGGAGGGCGUCUCGGGCUGUGGCCAUCACGCGUGCGCGCUGGGCUGUGUGGGAAGCAGAUGGGGCGAUGCUGGGCCCCUGGCGCUUGCGCAGACUGCAUGAUGUGCUGUUCUGAGAUGUCUGGGUGAGGAGCCCACGUCUCCUCUAACUGCGAGAGGUGCGGGAGUCGUCCUCCUGGACCCUCCUGGGGCAGCAGGGGCGGCGAGGGCAGGCGGGGGCGAAGGCAGGCUCCCCACUGCUCCCCCUCCGGGGCCUGCAGCCCGCCUGAGCGCCCGUGUCUGACCCCGCCGGGCAGGGGUUCUGCCUGGUGUCUCGCUCGUUUCAGGCCGAGAGGAAACCCAGUCACUCGUACUCCGGCAGAAGCAGAGAGCUCGCGCCCUUCGUGCUAACCAGAGAAUGUCCCGGAGCUUCAUUCAUCACUUACAGACACACACACACCGCACACACAUACACACCACACAUCACACGUACAUUCACACUACAGACACAUCACACAAUCAUACACACCACACUACACGUAUACACACACCACACGUCCAUACAAACACACGCACUCACGCAUACAUACCACACGCGUGCACACGCACACACACACACAUCAGAGAGUUUUCUGUCCCCAGAUGUCCAUAGUGCUGAGGCUCCGGGACCCUUGUCAUCACUUCGUGGUAAUGUAACUUCAUAAUAAGAAGCCAGUGCGUCUACUAAGCCAAUGGGAAACGAUGAGCAAGACCUUCCGGACCUCCCUUCGGUCGCCUGGAACGCGGUGGCCCAGAAUUCAGUCUGCUUCUCGCAGCGCGUCUUCUUUCCUGACAUCUGGAAAGCCAUCUGACUUUCUGGCCUCAGUUUUCUUGUCUGUUAGAGAAAUAUUUGGACUCUGGAGAUAAAUCGGUAUCAAAAGGUGGAGACGUCGUGUGACCGCAGACACAAAACGGAAAAGCAGGGGACAAACGGACGUUACGAGGAGCCCCUCGGAGGGGGCGGGUCUGUGGGGUUUGGUUGUCUUCCUGCCUGACGGAGACAGGCCGCUCAGCUCACCUCUGCUGAGUCUCGGACUCAGAUCCCGACCAGCGCCCCUUCUCACCAGCAGGGAGGCGGGCGAUCUGAGGGUCUACAUGAAGAAUUUCAUGGGGAGUCUGUGUGUCUUCAUGGCCAUCCACCUCUCCUGCCCGUGCUGCUUUGGAACAUCCUUGGCUUCUCCAACCUUUAAUCCUCAGUUGCAGAAAAGGGAGAAGGAAUUUAAAUGGCAGGAUAGUCAGGUACUGACACGUAGGUCAGCGAAGGAGCCAGUGGGUCCACCACGGAUUCAUUUACGUAUCAACGCCAGGCUGGGCAGUUGGAUGACUUCACUCUCGUCGGAGCUUCCAGAACAAACAAAAACAAACAGUUUGCAGGUCUAGAAGCUGCUGAGCUGUCAUCACCCAAAAGGGUGAGACUAGGGACAGACUG